rnacentral:rRNA from 1 species
UACGGAGGAUCCAAGCGUUAUCCGGAUUCACUGGGUUUAAAGGGUGCGUAGGUGGACUGACAAGUCAGUGGUGAAAACCUGCAGCUUAACUGUAGAACUGCCAUUGAUACUGUUGUUCUUGAGUACAUUUGAUGUGAGCGGAAUGUGUCGUGUAGCGGUGAAAUGCUUAGAUAUGACACAGAACACCAAUUGCGAAGGCAGCUCACAAAACUGUAACUGACACUGAGGCACGAAAGCGUGGGGAUCAAACAGG